UACGGAGGGUGCAAGCGUUAUCCGGAAUCACUGGGCGUAAAGGGCGCGUAGGCGGUCUCGUAAGUCCGAUGUUAAAGAGCGGGGCUCAACCCCGUCACGGCGUUGGAUACUGCGAGGCUUGACGGCUGGAGAGGCGAGUGGAAUUACCAGUGUAGCGGUGGAAUGCGUAGAUACUGGUAGGAACACCCAUUGCGAAGGCAGCUCGCUGGACAGCACGUGACGCUGAGGCGCGAAAGUGUGGGGAGCAAACCGGAUUAGAUACCCGGGUAGUCCACACCCUAAACGAUGCACACUUGGUGUCGGCCCGUUGGGGUCGGCGCCGGAGUUAACGCGUUAAGUGUGCCGCCUGGGAAGUACGGCCGCAAGGUUGAA
rnacentral:rRNA from 1 species